AUCUGAGUGAUUAGUUAUUGAAAACUACCGAAUUCAGUUCUUAAACUUUGUCUAGGUCACACCCCAUAAGGGUACUCCUGGGCCAUUAGCUCAGGUGGUUAGAGCGCACCCCUGAUAAGGGUGAGGUCCCUGGUUCAAGUCCAGGAUGGCCCAUUCGUGUUGGGGGUAUAGCUCAGUUGGUAGAGCGCCUGCUUUGCAAGCAGGAUGUCAGCGGUUCGAGUCCGCUUACCUCCACUGAUCCACUUUCUGAUAACGAAGUUCAAGGAGAUUAUUCUUGGAUAGGUGAUCUAGAUUUUGUUCUCUACAUAAAUGAACCUAGCUUCUUGUCAUCCUUAAUUUAGAAUUUUUUCUAAAUUAAUAGUUGAUAGGACGCUGGGCUCCCUGCAUUGAAUUGCAGAGAUGUUCAGUAGAACCUUGACAACUGCAUAGGUGAGUCUGGAAAGAAUAAAAGCAUCUCAUGGAUACAUUAUUCUUUCAAAUUAAAAACUAACUAUUUAGAUUAAAUUGUUAGUAAAUUUGAAAUUAUGAUGAUUAAUUCUUGAGCAAGAGCCGAGACUCUAGGUGGACUUUCAUUUUAUUAAAUGCGAGUUAGAUUCUUUAUUUUUUCUAGGUUUUAUAUAGUAAAUUUUACUAUUAAAGGAAUAGAGAAAUAAAGGAGAAAGGUGUUGACAACACUAUUCUGCUAGAGAUUAAUGGUCAAGCUACAA
rnacentral:tRNA from 1 species